UGGGUUGGUGUUUUGCAUAGAGACAUUGUGUGGCUAAACUGCAGCUGCUAUAAAAGUGCCAGUGUCCCUGUGCCAUAUUAAUGAUCUGUAUGUGUCACAGUGCAUAGAUAGAGACAUGUCUUAUCCCACUUAUCUACUGCUGGGGAUCCUCCUGAUCUUUAGCCAGGGUUCCUAUGGGCAGAUUGUACUGACUCAGUCUCCAGAUUAUGUCUCUGUGUCACCAGGAGAAACUGUCACCAUCACAUGUAAAGCCAGUAGCAGUGUUGCUGACAGCGAUGGAGACAGUUACAUAGCCUGGUACCAACAGAAAUCAGGGCAGGUACCAAAGCUGCUGAUCUAUUUGGCAAGUACCCGACACACAGGGACCCCAGAGCGGAUCAGCGGCAGUGAGUCUGGAACUGAUUUCACUCUUACAAUCAGCAGAAUGGAAGCAGAAGAUGCAGCAGAUUAUUACUGUCAGCAGGGUUGGGAGCUCCCUCUCACACAGUGAUACAGAGCUGAACAAAAACCUUCCUCUUUCAGCUUGAAUGCAGAUCAGACUA